rnacentral:rRNA from 1 species
AGCUUGCUUCUCUGAUGUUAGCGGCGGACGGGUGAGUAACACGUGGAUAACCUACCUAUAAGACUGGGAUAACUUCGGGAAACCGGAGCUAAUACCGGAUAAUAUUUUGAACCGCAUGGUUCAAAAGUGAAAGACGGUCUUGCUGUCACUUAUAGAUGGAUCCGCGCUGCAUUAGCUAGUUGGUAAGGUAACGGCUUACCAAGGCAACGAUGCAUAGCCGACCUGAGAGGGUGAUCGGCCACACUGGAACUGAGACACGGUCCAGACUCCUACGGGAGGCAGCAGUAGGGAAUCUUCCGCAAUGGGCGAAAGCCUGACGGAGCAACGCCGCGUGAGUGAUGAAGGUCUUCGGAUCGUAAAACUCUGUUAUUAGGGAAGAACAUAUGUGUAAGUAACUGUGCACAUCUUGACGGUACCUAAUCAGAAAGCCACGGCUAACUACGUGCCAGCAGCCGCGGUAAUACGUAGGUGGCAAGCGUUAUCCGGAAUUAUUGGGCGUAAAGCGCGCGUAGGCGGUUUUUUAAGUCUGAUGUGAAAGCCCACGGCUCAACCGUGGAGGGUCAUUGGAAACUGGAAAACUUGAGUGCAGAAGAGGAAAGUGGAAUUCCAUGUGUAGCGGUGAAAUGCGCAGAGAUAUGGAGGAACACCAGUGGCGAAGGCGACUUUCUGGUCUGUAACUGACGCUGAUGUGCGAAAGCGUGGGGAUCAAACAGGAUUAGAUACCCUGGUAGUCCACGCCGUAAACGAUGAGUGCUAAGUGUUAGGGGGUUUCCGCCCCUUAGUGCUGCAGCUAACGCAUUAAGCACUCCGCCUGGGGAGUACGACCGCAAGGUUGAAACUCAAAGGAAUUGACGGGGACCCGCACAAGCGGUGGAGCAUGUGGUUUAAUUCGAAGCAACGCGAAGAACCUUACCAAAUCUUGACAUCCUUUGACAACUCUAGAGAUAGAGCUUUCCCCUUCGGGGGACAAAGUGACAGGUGGUGCAUGGUUGUCGUCAGCUCGUGUCGUGAGAUGUUGGGUUAAGUCCCGCAACGAGCGCAACCCUUAAGCUUAGUUGCCAUCAUUAAGUUGGGCACUCUAAGUUGACUGCCGGUGACAAACCGGAGGAAGGUGGGGAUGACGUCAAAUCAUCAUGCCCCUUAUGAUUUGGGCUACACACGUGCUACAAUGGACAAUACAAAGGGCAGCGAAACCGCGAGGUCAAGCAAAUCCCAUAAAGUUGUUCUCAGUUCGGAUUGUAGUCUGCAACUCGACUACAUGAAGCUGGAAUCGCUAGUAAUCGUAGAUCAGCAUGCUACGGUGAAUACGUUCCCGGGUCUUGUACACACCGCCCGUCACAC